GGCGCUGUAGUGUAGCGGUUAUCACUCAAGAUUCUGAUUAUCUCCGACUUCUUGUAACCCCGGUUCGAUUCCGGGCAGUGCCU